GGUUGAUCCUGCCAGUAGUCAUAUGCUUGUCCUAAAGAUUAAGCCAUGCAUGUCUAAGUAUAAACCACUUUAUACGGUGAAACUGCGAAUGGCUCAUUAUAUCAGUUUUAAUUUACUUGAUAGUCUCUUUAUCAAUGGAUAACCUUGGUAAUUCUAGAGCUAAUACAUGCAACAAGCCCGACUGGCGACGGAAGGGCUGUAUUUAUUAGAUAAAAAACCGAUGCCAGCAAUGGCCCGUUGGUGAUUCAUAAUAACUUACUUGAUCGUAUGGCCUUGAGCCGACGACGUUUCAU
rnacentral:rRNA from 1 species